rnacentral:rRNA from 1 species
UUGCCAGACUCCUACGGGAGGCAGCAGUGAGGAAUAUUGGUCAAUGGGCGAGAGCCUGAACCAGCCAAGUCGCGUGAAGGAUGAAGGAUCUAUGGUUUGUAAACUUCUUUUAUAUGGGAAUAAAGUGAGGAACGUGUUCCUUUUUGUAUGUACCAUAUGAAUAAGCAUCGGCUAACUCCGUGCCAGCAGCCGCGGUAAUACGGAGGAUGCGAGCGUUAUCCGGAUUUAUUGGGUUUAAAGGGUGCGUAGGCGGAAUAUCAAGUCAGCGGUAAAAAUUCGGGGCUCAACCCCGUCGUGCCGUUGAAACUGAUGUUCUUGAGUGGGCGAGAAGUAUGCGGAAUGCGUGGUGUAGCGGUGAAAUGCAUAGAUAUCACGCAGAACUCCGAUUGCGAAGGCAGCAUACCGGCGCCCAACUGACGCUGAAGCACGAAAGCGUGGGUAUCGAACAGGAUUAGAUACCCCUGUACUU